rnacentral:lncRNA from 1 species
UUUUUUUUUUUUUUCUGUUUUUUGUUUUUUUUUUUGUAUAUUUUGGUAAAUAAAAAAAAGUUAUAAUAUUUUGGUUUUUUUAUUUUUUUAUAAUAAUUUUGUAAAAAACCCUCCCUCUUCCCUUUCAAAUUUCGUUUCCAAUUUUCUUUCAGAAUUCGAAAUUCACAAUUCCCAUGGGUAAAAUUUCCUUUUGCUCGUCUACUUCAUUACAUUCAGGGUGAAAUCAGAAAAUUUGUAGGAGGAGUCGAAAUUAAAUUGUAAUUUUUAAUAGUUUAAAUUUUUAUAAUUUUUAAAAGAUUAAAUAAAAAAUUUAUCAUUUUUAGGAGGUUAAAGUACAAUUUUAUUUUUACUAAUUUAAAAUUUAAAAAUUUCUAAAAAAUCUAAAUGAACAAUUUUUUUAUUUUAAGGGGCCCGAGUACUUACCAAUUCCACUAAUCACACUCCACUAUAUACCCAAAACCUUAAAAACUUCAACACUUGACUUAGCUCCAUUAGUGUGCCAUCCCAUCCCUCUCUUCUUCUAACUGUAUAACGAAAUCAACCAAUUUCCAUAACACGCAAAUAUAUUGUUGAAGUGCAAACCUUCUAUAACCCCUGUCAAUGGCCAAUCAUUUACCGCAUUCCGUAAACAAAUUAUAAAGCAAAUCUUAUAAAACAAGAAAACUGACUCAAGAUUUACCAAGAUUAAAAAAAAAUACGUAAUUAUAAAUUUGGUCACUAAUAUUUAUAUGUUUUAUUAAAAUAGUCUUAAUUAUAUUUUUGAACCUUUUUUUAGCUAUCAACUUUUAAUUUUUAUUUUCAAAUUGCUUCUUCUAACAGAUUUAAUGAAUAAAUUCAAUGUUUCAAUCUUUUUUCUUUCAGAAGGUUUCGAUCAUUCAUACGUUUGUUUACUGAUAGGUUUUUCUACUAAGUUAUUUUUUUUAGAUAAUUACGUUUAUUUUCUUUAAAUUAAGAGUUAUUUUUUUAAUUUCAUGUAUUAUUUUAUUAUUUUUCACAUGUAAUUAUCCUAUAGGGUUAUUUAAGUAAUAAAUUACAUUACAUUAAAAAUAUUUCACAUAGGAAAUUCAACAUCAUCCCAGUUAACUUUUUUAACGGUACUUUCAUUAAAUUUAUUAGAAAAAAUAAUUUGAAAAAAAAACAAACGUUAAUUACAAAAAAAAUCUCAAAAAUACAAUUAGAGUCACUUUAACAAAAUAUACCAACAUUAGUGCCUAAAUUUGUCAUUAAGCCAAAAAAAAAAAAACUAAAGGAAAAUCCCAAACAAGGCACACAUUCAGAAAGUUGAAAACUCAAGAAAUUAAAGGAAAACAAAUCCAAAACCUACUCUCAUAAAAGAGAAACAAACUUUGAAUAAUAGAAACUCUCAGACUUGAGAGGUUGCUUUUCAACUCAACUUAAUUCAAAUAUAAAAAACACUAAUUUUGCCAUUAAUCUUUGUGGUAUGUAAUUUAGUUAGUUAUUGUAUUUUUAAAAUUUAAAAUUUUAAUGUUAGGUCCAAAUUAGAGCAAUAAACCUGUUAGAUUGAAUUUUAUUAUUAGUGUCAUACGGAUUUAAUUAUUAUUUUUUAAUUUGAUAUUUUUAGAUAGUUUUUGAAUUUUAAAAUUUUAGUAAAAUAAUUUAUAAGUCCAUUAAUUAAAAUAAUAUGACUUUUUUUGUGAGUAUUAUGUAGAAAUAAUAAGCCGAUAUGACAUUACACAUGUGAUAUUACAUUUACCGUGUAAUAUUUUGGAAAUAACAAAAUUUAACAACUACCAAUUAAGUCAAUACUAAAUUUUUAAAAAGUAAGGUACAUAAAUUAAAUCUACGACUUACGUAUAGUAUAAGGAUUGAUGACAAUCCACAACUUAAACCCACAUCCUUCUAUCAACUCACGCACCACUCUUGCCCUCCUCCCUUUCGAAACUAACUCCUCCCUCGUCUUCACCCCCUUAGAAAUUCCCGUUUUGUUUCUAAAAUUCAUCUUACUGCUACCCGCACCAGAACUAAAAUCACCAAACUUCCUGAUAUUAACUCUCAGAUGCAGCCCAUAUUUCAAACAAAGACUCCCCUCUUCCACCAAUAGCGGAGCAUCUUCACAAGAUCUAACAAUAUGACCUAGAGAACCACAAAAAUAACACAAGUCGAUAAGCUUUUUAUAGCAACAAAUUUGAUUAAAAAAUUAACAGUAUUAACAAUUGAACCUAAAUUUUGAAAUCUAAAAAGUAAAUGGGCUAAAUUCUUAAAAAUAAAAAUAUAAAAAUUAAAUUUCGAAUUUGUAAAAUGUACAUAGACUUAACACAUAUUUUAACCUAACAAAAAAUAUAUUUAAUAAUUUGGGACACAUUCCAUCCCGGCCGUCAAUGUACAUAUCUAUACAACUAUACAUAAGAGGAAGGCCCUAAAUCUCUUUACUUUUUAGAUUAUAAGAAUAAUUAAAUUUGAUCCUUAAAAUUCGCUCAAAUUUGAUAUUUAGUAUAUAUACUUUAAUUUUGACAUAAUUUAAUGUCUCAGCUUUUAUAAUGUUAUUAGUUAGUUUAAAUACUUUAUUCUAAUUAAUAUGACAAUGUGAAUUUUUAAGAAUUAUUAGCACUGUUAAGAUUUUAUUAAAUUAAGGUUCGUUAAAAUGUUUUUUUUAAAUGGAUAUCAAUUUUUUUUUAAAUAUCACACCAACACAAAAUAACUCUAACAAUGUUAACAAAUUUAAAAUUUUAAAUUCGAAAAAAAGAGAUUAAAUUUUUAAAAAUAAAAAUAUAAAGAUUAAAUUUUAAAUAUACGAAAAGUAUAAAAACUUUGAACAAAUUGUAAAUCCAAUGCUAAGUGUGGGUGAAAACAAUACUAAAAUAAUAUAAAAAUAUGAAUUAAAAUAAUAAUACGAAUAAUAUUUUGAAAAAAAUAAAUGGGCGGCAAAAUUUCCCACCAAAAAUUGUCAGCGAAAAAAAAACCGUUGGUUUUUUAACUGUAUAAACUACUUUCUUUUUUGUCUUCAAAGUUCAGACAGCCAAUCAGGUCCUUCUACGUCUUUCGCUUGAUUCGUGGAUUAUGGAAAUAAUUUUGGGAAUACAUUUUAUUCUAAAUUUUGUAUAAAUAAAGCUAUGCAAAAUCGGAGAAAAAAAAUUACAGUUUAAAAUGGUUAUUUUUAACCACAAAAAAAAGGAAAGGAUUACAAAAUUUUGAAAAUAAAAAAUAAAAAAAGUCACUCAUUUUCUCUCUAUUGUCUUUCAUUGAUAUCGAUCUCGUCAAUUUUUUCGAGCUAUCAAUUUCGAAGAAGAUUUUAUGGGUACACUUCCGCUUAUUACUUUUUCUUUAAAAAGACUGUGAUUUCUUGUUUUUUUUUAUUUGAUUUAUAGCUGUUUUUCAAUGAUUCGUUUCUUUAUUUCAUGAAUUAAUUAUUAUGUGCUUUGCUUUCUUUGUUGAAUUUCUGUAAAAUGAAGGGGAGAAGAGCGUUAAAAGCAUGCAAUUGUUCCUUAAUGAUUGAAAAUUUAGAUUUAUUUUUUUUUGGUUUUCAACAGCUUCUUUUAAGUAGUAACUGUGAUGUUAUUGCAUGUUUGGUUUCUGAGAAAGCAAAGGAAAAUGAGAAGGAAAAAAAGAAAAAGAAAAAGAAGGAUAAUCGGGUUUUGAAUUUUUGUGAUAUAAAGGGGAGGAGAGCGUUAAAUCAUGCAAUGUUUCCUUACUGGUUGAAAUUUAGAUUUAAUUUAUUGUAUAUAUAUAUUUUGGUUUUCAACUAAUUCUUUAAGUGUUCAACUGUGAUGUUUGGAUCGUACCAGAGAACAAAAAUUAUGUUUAUUGAAUGUUUGACUGCCAAGAAAGCUAAGGAAAAAGAGAGGGAAAAAAAAGGAUAGUCGGAUUUUAAAUAUAUGUAAUACAAAGGGGAGGAGAGCAUUAAAAGCAUGCAAAGCUUCCUUAAUGAUUGAAAAUUUAGCUUUAAAUUUAUUUACUUUUUGGUUUUCAACAGUUCCUUUAAGUGGUGGAAAUCUGAAAUUUUAUUGUGAUGCUUGGAUUAGUAGCGGAGGUUAAAUGUAUGUUUACUGCAUGUUUGAUUGCUGAGAAAGCUAAGGAAAAUGGAAAAAGAAAAAAAAAGGAAAAUCGGAUUUAGAACCAUCAUUUCUUUAGCCACGUAAUACAUGAGAUUUCUCUGUCAAAAUCAAUGAAUAUACUAUUUGUUUUGUGGUAUUCUUCGAUAUCUUGUCUUUGAGCAAUCGAUAUGGAUCAUUUAGUUUUAAAAUUAACAAGGAAAAAUGGUAUUAUAUAUGGAAGCUUUUCCAUCAAUUCGCUUAUGGAUGCUAUAAAAAUGUCGCUACUCAGCUGAGAGUGAAGAAUGUUGUUCAACUCAAGUUAUCAACGGAGAUGGUUCAUUCAAUGAUGAGGGAAUUGAUCAUUUUGUCAAGGAAAUAAAACUUGCUGAAUGUGGGUUGUCAUAUGCUGUGGUUUCCAUCAUGGGACCGCAAAGUAGCGGUAUGCUUCGAUAUCUUCAUGAAAUCCUGCUUUUCAUGCUUAUACUUGCCUUGUUCCUAAGAUGUAUAUUCCUACUAAGCUGCUUCAUAUUUUUUUGUUUGUACAUUUGGUUUAAUAAUAUUGAAUUCAAUAUGUGGGAUACAAGUUAGCAUGAUUAGCUGGAAGUUGGGUCACUUCAAUUUUCGACAUCUCAUGUUGAAAUGGCCUUGCUUCUUCAUGUUUUUGUUGGAUUACUUCUGUUAGUGAUAUCAAGGUAUGCCUUUGGCCUUGUGUCUUACUGCUAGACCGCAAAAGCAACUUGGAUCAUUUCAGGCGAGGUGAUUUGAUUAGGUGCAUGGCUGGUGCGCCUAGGCUUCCUUUUUAUUAAAGCAACAGAAAUAAAAGGCCCGAAGUUCUCUUCAAUUUCUUUGUUAUUUUAACCGUUUUCAUUAGAUGUAUCUUUACCACUAAAGCAACGGAUAGCAUUGAACUCUUCACUUCUUAAUAUUUGAGUAUUUAACAAUAUCAUGCAUAUUGUUGGCCAACCAAAAAAAAUGAUUGUUUCGUAGAUAAAAUGAUCACUCUCUAGAGUUUAUUACCAUAAUUAUAUGUCCUAAGCUUAUUAUAUAUACACACAGAUGGACGCACAUCUACAUAUUGCGUGCUUUUUUUUGUGCCUUGUACUCGAGGCAAUAAAAGGGUUCUAGUGCCUACCGUGCGCCUUGCACCCUUGACAACACUGACUUCUAUAAUUAGUUUUAGAUAUUUGUUAUAUCAUUAUUUUUAUUGGUUCAAAUGAUCAGAGAUUUUAUUUAUUUCGUGUUUUAUCAUUAUAUUGUAGUUAUAUAAGUUCUAGUUGUGUCAGAUACCGUUUCACUUAGUUUUCAAUGAUCAUGACAGGUAAAAGCACACUGUUAAACCAUUUGUUUCACACAAAUUUCAGGGAAAUGGAUGCAUUUAUGGGAAGGUCAGUUAUGUUGCUCUUUAAUAACAACUGCUUUUGUUUCAGUUGGCUCAAAAACAACUAAUGGGAUUCUUGUCAGGUCUCAAACCACUAAAGGUAUUUGGAUAGCAAAAUGCGCUGGUCUAGAGCCUUGCACCCUAGUAAUGGAUUUGGAGGGCACCGAUGGAAGAGAACGUGGAGAGGUGCUUUUGUUAAAAUUUCUGCAAUGAUGAUCUAGAAUAGGUUAUAUUUAUUCAAUAGCCUUUACCCUAGGAUAUGAUUAAUAUAUAUUAUAUGUGAAAUUGAUGAAAUCAAACAGGCCAUUAUUAAAGAGUAAAUUUAAUUUACAGUGGGUUUUUAGUUAAAAGAAUCCUCAGUAAUUUUCGAACAGAGUUAUUGCUGGUUUAAUAACAUCAAGGCUAGAGUGACGAAUGAAACUGUACUGAAUAAUAGUUGGAAUCCAGAUAAUAAAAGUUGAAUAGGAAGUGUUUUAUCUCUGUGCAUUUUUGUUUCUUGCUCUUUUACAUAUAAAUUUUUUGUAUUAUUCCAGGAUGACACAGCAUUUGAGAAACAAAGUGCGCUUUUUGCACUGGCAGUUUCAGAUAUAGUACUGAUAAACAUGUAACUUUCGGCACUUACAUGAUGCUUGAUAUAAUUUGCACCUUCAUUGAAGGACUUAUUGCUAUCUGCAGUAUGUACAAGUAAUAUUCUUGAGCAACUUCCAUUUAGGUGGUGUCAUGAUAUUGGUCGCGAGCAAGCAGCUAAUAAACCUCUUUUGAAAACUGUAUUCCAGGUAUUCACAAUAUUGUUUCCCUUUCUAAGCAGUGCGCUGAAUUCAUGUGGUUAUGUGAUUUAAUUGGUUGUACUGGUUGCAGGUCAUGAUGCGAUUGUUUAGUCCCCGCAAAACGACUUUGAUGUUUGUCAUACGCGAUAAAACUAGGGUGGGUAGAUUUUUUCUUAAUGGAGAGCAUUUUGCGUUUAGAGAGCUAUUAUUAUUCAUCAUUUUCAUUUAACGAUUUCGUAUUUCGAUUGAGUUUAUGGUUACUUAAAGAUUUCUUGCUUACAGACACCACUGGAACAUUUGGAACCUGUUCUGAGAGAAGAUAUCCAGAAGGUAUAAAUAUGCGGAUCCUAUGCCUCCUUGCUUUUCUGAUUAACUUCAGAAUGUUUUCUUUUGACCCGAUUUUCUUGAAAUGCAGAUAUGGGACUCAGUUCCUAAGCCAGAAGCACAUAUGGAAACUUCAUUAAGUGAAUUUUUCAACGUAAGAUAUUGGGUUUGGUUUCUUGCAACAAAAGUGUAAAUGUCUCUCCCUAUACAUUUUCUAUGAGAUUACUUCUGAUAAUUUAAUGCUAUUGCUGAUAAUACACAGGUUGAGGUUGUUGCACUUUCUAGUUAUGAAGGAAAGGAAGAGCUGUUUAAGGAGCAGGUAACCUGUUUGUAUUUGGGUCAUCUCAUGCAUUCAGUAUUCAUUGCAUGCUAAAAAAACCAUGUCUGCCUACCAUUUAUAAAUUUGCAUGUAAGUUGGAUGAUGGUUCUGAAACUUUUGACUAAAUGGCAUGCAAAUUGACAGUUUAUCUUCCUAUUUAUUAUAUUACUGAAGGUGGCUAAUUUGAGACAACGAUUCUUCCACUCUAUUGCACCCGGGGGGAUUGCAGGAGAUCGGAGGGGAGCAGUACCGGCUUCAGGGUUCUCUUUUAGUGCACAACAUAUCUGGAAAGUCAUUAAGGAGAAUAAGGACCUUGAUCUUCCAGCCCAUAAGGUGACCUUUAGGACAUAUUUAACUUGAAUGAAAUUUGUAAUUAUUGUUGCCUUUUUUGUUAUCCAUGCUUCAUUUGCUUUAGGUCAUGGUGGCUACGGUACGCUGUGAAGAAAUUGCCAGUGAAAAGUACACUAGUUUUACAUCAAAUGAGGUAUUUGUACAUGUAAGUAAGCAUUUAAUUCAUAAACAUUUGUAUGCUUACCAACCUACUACUUCAUAUAACAGAAUUGGCAUUCGUUGGAAGAAGCUGUAAAAUCUGGUCCCGUUGCUGGCUUUGGGAAGAAGCUAAAUUCAAUUCUCUACACUUCUCUAUCAGAGUAAGACCACUUAAUGAGAUUGAGAUGAUUGUUUCAAUGUUGAAGUUAUAAGUAGGCUACUAUCUAUAUAAGCAUUUGGAUGAGCUGAGCUUAGGCAAAGACCUGUUGGUUAUUGGUUUUUCCCUGGCUUACUACCAUAUCAGUGAUUGAGUUUCUUGUUCUAUUUUGUUCUGAUUUUAGAUAUGAUGCAGAAGCCACAUAUUUUGAUGAAGGUGUGAGAUCUGCAAAGCGAAAGCACCUUGAAGAAAAACUGCUCCAAGUAAGAGCAUUCUAUAGUAUUCUUGACCAAUUAGUGUCCGUUAUUAAUUUUUCUCAUCUCAUUUGCCUUGUCUUAUGAUUUAGCUUGUCCAACCAGCCUACCAAUCCAUGCUAGGACAUUUAAGGAUCGAAACUCUUGAAAAAUUUAAGGAAGCAUUUGAUAAGGCUUUGAAAGGAGAUGAGGGGUUCUCAGUGGCUGCUUGCAAGUGCAUUAAAACUUACAUGGCUUCAUUUGAUGCAGGAUAUGCAGGUAUUGAAAGUUUUCAAGAAAACAUUUAAUAAAACUGUUCUGUCUUUUAUUAACUAAACUACUAAAUUUAAAUAGAGAAAAUAGUCAACCUAAUUGGAAAAAUAAUUCUCUUAUUCUAAUAAAGUACUAAAAGAUAAGGAAAAUAAUUCUCUUAUUCUAAUAAAUUACUAAAAGAUAAAAUAAAAUAUUCCUAGAAUAUCUCAAAUGAUUUAUUCUAAGAUUUAUCUACCUCAAAAACUUUAAAAUUUAUGCAAAAAAUAUAGGGGUUUCACAUAUUUCAACACUCUCCCUCAAGUUGGUGCACAUAUAUCAAUCAUGCCCAACUUGCUUACAAGAAAAUCAAAGCUUGUCUUAGAGAGCCAUUUGGUGAGUAUGUCAGCAAUCUGUUGUUUUGAAGAAACAAACGACAUGCACACUUGGUUUUCUUCAAUAUUCUCAUUGAUAAAGUGUAUCAAUCUCAACAUGUUUAGUUUUGUCAUGCUGGACUGGGUUGUGAGCAAUACUAAUGGCAGCUUUGCUAUCACAGUACAACUUCAUUGGUGAAGUUAUUGAUUUCCUCAACUCUUCCAUAAUUCUUUUUAACCACAUCAUUUCACAAAUUCCUUGAGCCAUUGAUCUAAACUCAGCCUCUGCAUUACUUCUUACUACAGCAUUUUGUUUUUUACUUCGCCAAGUCACAAGGUUUCCCUAAACAAAUGUACAUAAUCCUGAUGUAGAUAUUCUAUUUGUUAUUGAGCCUGCCCAGUCUGCAUCUGUAUAAGCUUCAACUCCUCUUUGUUUGGAUUUCUUGAAGAAUAAGCCUUUUCUAGGUGAACUCUUCAAGUAUCUCAGAAUCCGAAACACUACUUCUUCAUCUUCCUCCAUUGGGGUGUGCAUAAAUUGACUUACUAAGCUCACUGCAAAAGCUAUGCUUGGCCUUGUAUGUGAUAAGUAAAUUAACUUACCGGCUAAUCUUUGGUACUGCCUUUUAUCAACUAAUCGACCUUUAUUUUCAAAUUUUACAUUUGGAUCAAUUGGUGUGUCAGCUGGGCGACAACCACUCAUCCCAGCCUCUUUUAAAAGAUCAAUCACAUAUUUUUUCUGAGAGACCACAAGACCCUUCUUUGAUCGAGCAACUUCCAUUCCAAGAAAGUAUUUCAAAGAACCCAAGUCUUUGAUCUCAAACUCCAAUGCUAGAUGCUCCUUGAGACGCCUUAUGUCAUCCACAUCAUCUCUUGUAAGAAUGAUAUCAUCGACAUAAACUAUAAUAACUGCUAUUCUACCUCUUUGUGAGUGUCGAUAAAACAUUGUGUGAUUAGCUUGCCCUUGUGAGUAAUCUUGUUUUUUAACAACUUGAGUGAAUCGAUCAAACCAAGCUCGAGGAGACUGCUUUAGACCAUAUAAAGAUUUCCUAAGCUUACAUACUCGAGUUCCAAAUUUUUCUUCAAAACCUGGAGGAUCCAUGUAAACUUCUUCUUCAAGUUUCCCAUUUAGGAAAGCAUUCUUCACAUCUAGCUGCUGUAAGGACCAAUCAAGAUUAACAACAAUUGAUAAAAGAACUCUAACAGAAUUUAAUUUGGCUACUGGAGCAAAUUUUUCAAGAUAAUCUAUCCCAUAUGUUUGAGUAUGCCCUUUAGCCACCAGUCGAGCUUUGUAUCUAUCUAAAGAUCCAUCCAGUUUGAAUUUGGUUGUGAACACCCAUUUACAGCACACAGAUUUUUCCCUACAAGUAAUUCCACUGUUUUCAUGUGCCUGUUUUUUCAAGAGCGCGCAUCUCUAAAAUAGCCUUCUUCCAGUCAGGAACCUGUAAAGCAUCUUUCACAUUUUUGGGUAUUUUCACAGUAUCGAGACACGAAACAAAGGCUGAAAAUGUCGAAGACAAGGCUUUAUAAGACACAAAGUUAGACAUGAGAUAUUUGACAACAUUUCUAACACCUUUUCUUUUAGCAAUUGGAAUAUCUAAAUCAGAAAAUUCAUUAGUUGGAUUAUGAGCUUACCUGAACUUUUGACAAGAUCUUACGGGUCGGAUUCUUGGUGAUGAAUCUGGUGGAUUCCACUUUCUUGAUUUCGAUUUCUUUUUGAGUAAACAAUUAACUCCUUUGUUUAUUCUUUAUUCUCAUGAUCAGACUCAACACCUUCAUACUCCUUUUCAUUAACAACAUUAACAUCAUUAAUUUCUGUAUUAAUCAUAAAUUCACCUUCCCCAUUAUUAGAAUCUUUAUGUUGUAUAUUCCUAGUGUUUUCUUGAUCAAUUAUAGAAUCUUCCUUACUAUAAUUUCCUCCCUGAAAAUUAGAAUCAAAGUAAGAUUGUGUUUUAACAAAUGUGACAUCUAUGGUAACAAUAAUUUUCCUAUCAAUUGGAUCAUAACAUUUGUAACCCUUUUUUAUUAGAAGUAUAGCCAACAAAGACACAUUUUUUUACUCUAGGAUCUAGUUUACAUUGGUUGUGAAUAUGAACAAAAACACUAUACCCAAAAACUCGAAAGCAUAAAUCUGUGAUCAUUUUAGAGUUAGGAAAGUUAUCUUUAAAGAGACGGAAAGGAGUUUUAGAGUUUAGAGUUUUACUAGGCAUUCUAUUAAUAAGAUAUGUAGCUGUUAACAAGGCUUCGCCCCAAAGAUAAUGUAAUACCUGACUAGUGAACAUCAAGGCUCUAGUUACUUCCAAAAGAUGUUGGUUUUUUCUUUCUGCAACCCUAUUUUGUUGUGGUGUAUUUGUAUAAGAGCUUUGGUGGACUAUAUCAUGUUUGGUUAAGAAAACACCUAAUUGGUCCCUAAAAAAUUCUCCACCAUUGUGAAUCUAAAGUACUUUUAUUCUCACACCAAAUUGUGUUUUCACCAUAGCAUAAAAAGACUGAAAUACAUUUUUAACUUCAGAUUUAUCUUUUAAUUAAAACACCUAACAAAUGCGAGUAUGAUCAUCAAUAAAUGUGACAAACCAAUGUUUUCCUCAAAAAGUUGAGACUUUCGAAGGUCCCCAAACAUCACUAUGAAUUAACGAAAAAGGUUUGUAAGUUUAUAUUUUUGAGGUGGGAAGAAUGACCGAUGAUGUUUAGUCAAUUCACAGUGAUAUGAAGGACUUUUAUUUUUAAAUAGAUCAGGUAACAAAUAUCUUAAAUAGUAAAAAAUAGGAUGUCCAAACCUAUAAUACCAAAUCAUAACCUUAUCAAAACUAGAAGCAGAAUUUAAACAUAAAGUAGUUGCUGAUUGACUUAGAUAGUCGUCGUCAAGAAAGAAAACUCCACUAGAUUCUUUAGCACUGCCAAUCAUCCUCCUCGAGACUAUGUCCUGAAAUUUACACAGAGGAGUCAAAUAUAACAUGAGAAUUCGAGGACUGAGAUAAUUUACUAACCGAUAUGAGAUUACAAGUUAAAUUUGACACAUGUAAAACAUCAUGUAAAACCAAGGAAGGCAAAAUUUUAACAGUGCCUUUCCCGGCUAUUGUCGAGAACGACCCAUUUGCUACUUUGAUUUUUUUUCCUGCACAAUGUGUGUAAGUUGAAAAAAGAAAAUGACUACUAGUCAUGUGAUCACUAGCUCCAGAAUCAACGAUCCACGUGUUUGUUUUACAAGGCUUGACACUGAAAAAAAUAAAAAAUUCAAUACCUGAUUGGGCAAAGGAGGAAGAAGGAUUAUUGGAUGAGUUAGGAACAGAAUAAUUCAUCCGAAAUUAUGAUGAUUGAAAAAGCUUGUGUAAAUGCUCUAAUUGUUCUUUAGUGAAUGAAGACCCUUCUAGAAUACUUUAGCCCUCAUAAUCUUCAUUAGUUGUUUCAACAGUAAAACUUUCUUCCUCUGUUUGAUUGUUGGAUCUAUUAUUUCUAGUGAAGGUUGUUUUAACCAUAAUGCUACUAGAGAUUUAACCUAGCUCUGAUACCAUGAAAGUUUUCAAGGGAGCAUUUAAUAAAACUAUUCUGUCUUUUAUUAACUAAACAACUAAAUUUAAAUAGAAAAAAGAGUCAUAACUUAAUUAGAAAAAUAAUUCCCUUAUUCUAAUAAAUUAGUACUAAAAGAUAAGGAAAAUAAUUCUCUUAUUCUAAUAAACUACUAAAAGAUAAAAUAAAAUACUCUUAAAAUAUCUCAAAUAAUUUAUUCUAAGAUUUAUCUACUAAAUAAGAUUUAUCUACCUAAAUAACUUUAAAAUAUAUGCCUAAAAUAUAGCGAUUUCACAUAUUUCAACAGGUAUGAUUGAACUUCAUAAUCAUUCUCUGAGUUAUAAACCAAAGUUACAAAACAUAAGUUCAAGAGGUUUGAAAUGGGAAAGAGUUCAUUAAAAAGUUUUAUUUGGCAAUAAAUAAGUCAUUCAAGGAAAAUUGAGUUUUUAGCUUGUAAGUGUUGAAGUUGCUGAAAAGUUGUUUGUUUAGUUGCGACUUGUGAAACAAUUGAAAACUGAAACAAUAAACAAUGGACACAGACAAUUGUUUAUGCAGUUUGGAUUCAAUCCUAAUUCAAUCCUACCUCUGCGAGGCCUUAUCCAAAAACUAAAUCACAAUAUUUUUUGUGAUACAAGGGAAGAUUUAAGUCCAACCACACCCAUAAAUGUUGCAGCCUCACUCCCAUAUAAUUACAAUCCACACAUCUAAUGUAAAUAGCAGCCUCAAUAUAUAGAGAUUUCAGUUCGGGUGCAUCCAACUAGUAGAAUCAAAUCAAAUCUCUAGAAUUUUGCCCAUAUCCAUUAUCUUACAUAUAUAUAUAUAGCCUUUACAUUCAUGACAUUUAAUGUUUUUCUUCUUUUCUUUGACACUCUUCUUUAACAACAUAUUCUCCUUUGCUUUUGUUUAAGCCAUGACCUCCAUCAUUCCUGGUGUUUCUCCUUGAAAGUUUUAUGAAGGCUUGAUUUAAAUUUUUAGUAAGAAGAACUAGCUGCUUCUAUAGGUCCUCAAUGGUAAUUUCUUCACAAGUUGCAACUAGAGAUGUGACAUUCAGAGCAAUGUUUUUCUCUGAAUCCCUUUGAAUUCCUCUAAAUUCAUUUUAAAUAUUUGAAGUGACCCAAGCAACUUAUAUGUUUUUAUAGUAUUGAUAUCCUUGGCUUCUUCAGUGAUUGUUACUUUGAUUCAAAUCUUUCUGAGAGGGAUAUCGGCACUUUGCGCACCAAUUUCAUUGGAUUAAUCAUCAUCAAAGGUGAAAGCUUGGUUAGAUAUGUCACAUAACAUAAAAAUCAUAAAGAAUCUCUUCCUCAUACAUUCUUAAGUUUUUUAAUCUAGUUGUUAGCAUUUGGAGCUUUGACUGCUUUACACUAGUGGUUCCUUAAUGUGUGGUUUCAAGAGUUGUCCAAGCUUGACGAGCAGAAACACACUUGGAGAUACACUUGAAUUCCUCGGGGUCAACACCAUUGAAGAUUGCAUUUAAAGCCUUUGAGUUAUAACUAGUUGUUUUGUCCUCUUUGGCUAACCAUGUAAUUUCGAGUCUGAGAGUGUGAACACUAUCAAUUUCAGUAACUAGAGGUUCCCAACCUGUUAGGAUUGCUCUCCAUGCCUUCUUAUCAAUAGAUUUUAUAAACACUCGGGUUUCUAGUAGGCAUAAUUCGAGCUAUCAAGCAUAGGUGGCAUGUAGAUCAAGUUUCCUUCCCUAAUUCAACAACUAACAACAUGAUCCCACCAAAUUCGUCUUAUGUCUAGCUCUAGCACCAAUUGUAAGUGUUGGAGUAGUUGAGAAGUUCUUUGUUUAAAUGCGACUUAAGAUAUAACUAAAAACAGAAACAAUAAACAAUGAACACAGGUGAUUGUUUACACAGUUUGGAUCCAACCCCACAUCCGCAGAGCCUGUCUAAAGAGUAAAUCACUAUAAUCUUCAUGGUAUAAGAGAUGAUUUAAGCCUAAUCACACCCACAAAUAUUGCAGUCACUCUCAUUUAAUUACAAUGAAGAAAUUUCCCCAAAAAAGAUUUUCCCAUGAAAGUUUAGAACAAAUUGCUGAAACAGUUUGAUCAAAUUUUACUUUAAAUAAAAGUUUCUCCUAAUGAAUAGAUAAGUGCACACUCAAAUGCACACACUCAAUGUAAGUAGCAACCUUAAUAUAUAGAGAUUUCAGUUUGGGUGUCUCCAGCUAGUAGGAUCAGAUCAAAUCUCUAGAAUUUCGCCAAUAUCCAUUAUCAUUAUGGCUUAGAUAAUAUUUGAGAAAAAUAUAAGGAUUAUCCAUAUCCCUCUCGAUUGCAUAUCUCUUAAUAAAUGGAAAGAUAAUCAUAAUCCCAUCUACUAGUUUCCUUGCUGAGAAUUAUCUCCCCUGAUUAGCUGUGUGAUAUCACAAUUUUUGCUGCACAAAAUCACUUUAUUUGCUAUCCAAAAUUACAUUAAAAAUUGUCAAUCAAAUAUAAACAAAUCUUAAAAAAAAAACUAUUUGUUUGACAACUUUUUUUGCAGAUGCUGCUGUUGAGCUAGCAAAUUGGGAUUCCUCCAAAAUCAGGGAUAAGCUACGUCGUGACAUUAAUGAUCAUGUUGCUUCUGUUCGAGCUGCCAAGCUUUCAGAGCUUACGUCUUCCUAUGAGGUAUGGCAAUUUAUGUGUCCCCUUCUAUCCAAAAAGCUAGGGAUAGAGUAACCUAAUAAUUUAAAAGCAGGAUUUUGUGUCUAUAUCACCCGGACUCGGGUAUGAGUGUUGGAUACAGCUAUAUGCCCAACAUGGGUUUGUUCAAUUUUUCUUGUAAGCUUUUCCAGUGUAUUCAAAAAGGUCCUUCAAGGGUCAUAUCCUUAUUCCUAUAUCUAGAUAUUUGUUGGGCCUGAGUAUCGAGCACAAACACUUUAAAAGAUGGAGCAACAUAGGUUUGUGUAUCAUUCGAAGUUGUGUCAGUUUGGUUUCUCUAGGGAGGCAAGGUGAGCUGAAGUUGAGGCCUUGGCGCCAUGAUCUUUCUUUUCGCACAGUCUUGCUGGUCGAUGAUAAUUUUCACAUUGUUGCGUUGUGCAGAUUACUUUAAAAAUAGCUUUAGCCCUAGUAAUCAAGAUGUCAUAUUGAAUUGUUUUAGAAAUUGAAUCCCAUUCUUUGUUACUAGGAUUUGGGUAUUACUUUCAAGUUUUUAUAUGUAUUUGGAGGGUCAUAUCCGCAUACCUAUGCUCAAAUAUGUAUCGGACAACAGUACUUCAAGACAUAUGGAGUGCCGGGGCAACAUAGAUCUCAAUUUACUAAGAUGUCAUAAUAAAGAGUUGGGUUAUUAUAACUUUACAAUAUGGGUGUCGAAUCUACCAUCUAGUUCUGGAUAAGAAAGACCUAAAAUUUGCUUGGUGAAUUCUAAGCCCAUAUCUCAUUUUUAUGAUUGGUUUAAUCACCACUUUGAAUCAUAAUGAUAAUAAUGGUGCAUUUGCAGGCAAAGCUGAAUGAGGCAUUAUCUGGACCUGUUGAAGCACUCUUAGAUGGAGCUAAUAAGGAAACCUGGCCAUUGAUAAGGAAACUUCUGCAGCGUGAAACCGAAUCAAUUCUCUCUGGACUGUCCACUGCUCUCCCUGGUUUUGACAUGGAUGAACAAACCCAGAAGAAGACUCUAACGAGUCUAGAGAAUCAUGCGAGAGGUGUGGUUGAAGGGAAAGCAAAAGAAGAAGCAGGAAGGGUAUUAAUCCGUAUGAAGGACAGGUAAUAAUACAUUUCAUGAUUGAGUUAAAAGUGUUUGAACAAUAUAGACUUGUUUUUCUAAACAUUAUACAUUAUCAAAAUCGACUUUACAUACAGGUUUUCUACAUUAUUUAAUCACGAUUCUGAAUCAAUGCCACGGGUUUGGACCGGGAAAGAAGAUGUUCGAUCCAUCACUAAAACAGCUCACUCUGCAGUAUGUUUAUGUAUUAUCAUUUUGAUAAUUUAAAAAAAGAAAUUUCUUCCAUUCUGUUCUCUUCUGAAUUUGUUUAUUAUCCCUUGUUAGGCCUUAAAGUUGCUAUCUGUUAUGGCUGCAAUCCGGUUGGAUGAUAAUGUCGAUAACAUUGAGAAUACACUUUGUUCUGCCUUGUUGGAUACCAAAGGCAUUGCUUCUGUGACUAAAUGGGGCAGUACAACAUCUGAUCCAUUGGCCUCUAGCACUUGGGAUAAGGUUAAGUCCUGUCCUUGCUGAUCAUCUUUAUAAAGAUUUAGUUGAAUUAUACUCAGACAAGAGUGUCGAACACAAGCACUUCAUUGAUGUCUAUUGCAUGAUUGGUUCUUAUGACUGGUUUCGUUUGGCUACAGGUUCCACCCAACAAGAUAUUAAUCACACCUGUCCAGUGCAAGAUUUUAUGGCGGCAAUACCGGGCAGAGACAGAGUACUGUGUCACUCAGGCCAUUUCUGCUCAGGCAUGAAAUUUAAAAUCUUAUUAAUUUUCUAGGAGAUUAUUAUGUUACUCGGAUUUGAAUGUUAGUGUCCGAUACAGGUAUAUUCAAUUUUUUCUCUGAAUUAUUAUUUAUCUCUCUACUUUCAGGAAGCCAACAAGCGUAGCAACAACUGGUUACCACCUCCAUGGGCAAUUGUUGCUUUGAUCAUCUUGGGAUUUAAUGAAUUUUUGACUCUUCUAAGGUGCACAUUUCACAAUGUAUUUGGAUUUUUUAUAAAAUAUAGAAUAUACAAAUACGGGCUUUUUCAACUUCUUUUAAAUCUUUUAAUGUUUUUGAAGUUUUAAGGAUUUUUAGAAUGUUAUUAUCUCAAAAUAUAAAUAUCAGAUAUGAAUAUUUUAUAAAAAUUAAAAUUAAAACUAAAGUAAAUAGUUUAUUAGUGCUUAAUUUCAAAUAUUGUCAUUGCAGAAACCCUUUGUAUGUGGGUAUCAUCUUUGUUGGUUACCUUAUGCUGAAAGCUCUCUGGGUGCAGCUCGACAUUUCUGGUGAAUUCAGCCAUGGUGUUGUGAGUAUCAAGCAUGUAUUUUGGCUUUCUGUUUAUUUCUAAGCAUGCAUAAAAUAUUUGUCAUUCGUGUUCAAAUGAGAGUGUUGGGUAUGAUCAUGUGUUCGAAACAUUAGUUUUUAAUUCUUUCAAUAUUUUCAUUUAUUUGUAGUCUUUGAAAGAUUAUAUUUAUAUUCAUAUAAGCAUGUUAAAAUAUGUAUCGCAUAUUUAUAUUUUAAGAAAAAAACGAAAAGUAGUAACAACGUAUUAAAAUCUUGAAACAAUUUAUUGGAAAAACAUUUGAAACUUUUUUUUGCAUGUAAACUUGAAAUACAAAAGCCAGAUACCUGGAGGCGAUUUGCUUCUUUUUAGACGUGUCUGGCUAUGUUACUUGCAUAUAGGUAUGAAUUUUAAUAUAUUCAAAAAUAUAUAUACAUGUACUUUGAAAGUCCUUGGAAUGCCAUAUCCUAUAUCCAACUCAUACAUUAUAAAUAAAAUUACUUCAGAAAAAAAACAAACAAACAAACAAAGCUGCCAUUUUUUUCUAAAAUUAUGAUGUUGGUCCUUCUAUCAUCCUCAAUUUUAUAAUUUAGUUUUUUACUUUUAUUUGGUAUAAUUUGGUCAUUACUUUUAUAAGAUUAUUAGUUAGUCCAAAUGGUGUUAAAUAUUCUGGUAAAAAUAUUGUCAUAAAUUACCAGAACUACUCCAUGCAUGCUAUCCAAAAAAAGAAAAUCACCUUAUCUUGAAUACAAUUUUUUUUUUAAAAAAUCGCUCCAAACAGUUUGAGUCUAGCCAUCUCUACUCAAUUAUUGAAAGUAGUUUAUAUUAUUAUUUAUAUAUAAUUUAAAAUUUUAAUGUUUUGCAGUUACCUGGGAUAAUUUCCCUAUCAACCAAGUUCAUUCCCACGAUUAUGAGCCUUCUGAAAAAAUUAGCAGAGGAAGGGCAAGCAGCAGCAAAUAACAACCCUCAAUCAACCAAUGCUUCAGCAUCUAAGAGCUUGCCAAACACUUCUCCUCCAUUACUCACUGCUUCCUCUACAGUAACUUCAUCAGCAAACGGUACCAAAGAAGAAUAAUCACCAACUUAUUUCAUAUAUAUAUACUAUAUAUGUUAUUCCGACUUGAAUAUGUUGGAUACGGUAUGUAUUCGACAUGAGUACAUUCAAUUUCUAUUUUUCAAGAUUUACCAUGUUUUGGAAAAUCUUCGAAUUAUAUUCUCAUACUUAUGUUCGGAUGUGUGUCGUGCACACAAGUGUUUAAGAAAAAAAUGAAAUGUCAAGAAUAACAUGUAUAUAUAUGGUCUAUAAUGCAUGUGAGGGUUAAAAGGAGGCACUGCUAAUUUCUUGAGGUAAAGGCCACAUCAAAUAGGUUUUUUUUUUUCUUUUGUUUUUAAUUUUAUUUUUCAGACUAGAUUUUAAGCUAAUUUUAUAUAUUUAUGUUUUUCUUCGCCAUGUUGUUAGCUCUUAAUAUAUUUAUAAACAUAUAUAUAUACAUAUGUAAGUAGGUACUCAGAUUUUGUUCUUUUGUCGUGAGUAUUUGGGAUGGCAAAAACUCUCAGCCACCAAAUUUAUAUCAAUUCAUUUUUGAUGAAUAUGCUUGUGUUUUGAAAAAUAUUGGGUGAAUUUUUUAAAAAAUUGAAUUAAAUUAGAGGUGUUUAUGAGUUGAAUGGUUUGAUUAACUCGAGUUUCUUUGGAUUAAGUUUGGAUGUAUAAUUUUUAAUCUUCAUUUGUUUCAACCUGUUAUAUUCUUUAAAAUAAUAAAUAUAAAAAAUUAUAUUUAUAUUUAUAUUUAUAUUUAUAUAUUUUUAUAAUUAAAUUUAAAUAAAAAUAAAUUUUAUUAUUUUUGAACAAUAUAACAGACUAUUUCAAUCGGCUUAAAAAGGCUAGGUUGAGCUUCUGUUUCGGCUUAAUCUUAAUUUUUUUUUAAAAGAGACAGUUUGAUCCAAUCCAAACCCAUGAAUAUCUUUAAAUAGAACUGAUCAUUUUGAUAGAUACUUAUUAGGUAGUAUUUUAAAAGAAAAUACUAAUUUAAAUUGAGAUGAAUAUUAAAAUUAUAUAUGAACUUUGAUAAAAUUUGUAAUUUUAUAUAUCAAUUUUAAUUUGGUAUAUUUGUAUACAUUGAACUUUAAUUUUAGUUCAAUUUUCACAUUUCAUUAACUCCGUUAUCUAUGUGGUACAAUUUUUCGUUAAGUCAUGUGUAAAUUGUUAAUAUGAAAUUUUAUUAGGUUUAAAAGCAAACAAACAAAUUUAAAUUAAUUUCACAUAGAUUAAAAAAAAAGAUUUCUUGGUGGAAAUAGGAAACCUUUUUCCGGAGAGUGUUUAUUUUUUUAAUAUAGGUGAAAAUAAUUUAAAUUUAUUUGUUUGUUUUCUAUCCUAAUAAAAUAUCAUUUCAACAAAUUACAUAUAAUAGAAAAUUGUGCCACAUAGAUAAUAGGGUUAGUGGAAUGUGAAAAAAUGAACCAAAAAAUAAAAUUUGAUGUAUACAAAUACACCAAAUUUUAGUUUAUGUAUAACAUUGCAAAUUUUAUCAAAGCUCAUAUAUAAAUUUAUUAUUUAUCCCAUUUAAAAUUUAAAAUAUUUUAUAAAUUCAUUUUAUAUUUGUGGUAUAAUUAGAAAUGAAUUAUAAAUAUACUAACCUUAUAUAUAUUAAAAUUCUUGCUUACGAAUAAAAUAAAUAUAUUUUAUAAAUAUACUAAAGUCAAGAUCUUUAUUUGGAGGUGGUGCCUUCACAAUUUCAUACCGUGUAAAGGAAGACUUGUUGAGAAAGGGUGUUGUAUUGAUCUGCUUUGUUUAUGGUGUGAUGAACUUGAAAUAAUUGAGCAUGUGCUGAUUCAUUGCUGGAAUAUUGUGGGAAUUCAACACUUGACUACUGGGAUUGUUGAGACCAUUUUUCGCCUCUUUGCACGCCACCGGGCCUUAAUGAUUUUGUGGACCCUUUGGUUCUAUAGGAACAUCUUUGUUUGGCAGCACAAGGAUGCUCGAAUUAUCGAGUUUGCAAAUAAAUUUAUACACCCUCGAAUGAUGCGAGUAUUAUUGGUGCUUCACAGUGGGCGAGACCAACGGAUGGGUUACUAGACUGUAACGUGGAUGCUUAUAACGCUUCUACUUUUGCGGCUAUUGUGCGUGAUAGUAAUGGGCUUUGAUGGAACUUCACAUACCUAAAAUUUGGUCAAUACGCGAGGCUCUCUCUUGACUACAAAAAUUGAUGUUUUGAUAAAAUUGUGGUUGAGUCGAAUUGUCUUUUGACCAUUAAUGCUUGGUAAAGCCUACUAUAAAUUAGUCAAAUUUUGGAGUACUUGUUUGCGAUUGUUUAUCUUUGCAACUUGAAUUCUCUUCUUUGUCAUUUGCUUGAACUCGACGGACGGCUAAUUAGGCUGCUCGUUUUAUGUCCAAGGCAACCAUGUUAUUUGCAGAUUAUAAAGAGUGAAUUUCAACGUCUAUUACUUAAAUUAUUGACAAUGAUGUUUCAAUAUUAAAUGCCUCUAGGAAUACGUAUAUUAAGUAUUGAACAGCUAUUUUAUUUAAAUAAUAAUAAUUUCCAUAAUCAACAAAUAUCUCCAACUCAGGCUAUCUUUUCAAGCUAGAGAAUUGGUGACAAAUUCUUUAAGGAGCACAAUUAAGAGUCAACAAAGCACAAAAAGAGCUUGGCAGCAAUGCAUAAAUCUCUAUUGCAAUACAUUGCAGAUAAAAGGACCUAACUUUUGCCAAAUUGCUUGCAACUAGAGACGAUCUCCUUAAGGUUGCACGAGCUAACAUUCAAAGAAUUCUCCCUACUAAAUGAAAUUAUCAAAAGAAAUUUUAUUUCAAGGAUGCUAUUAUAAUAAUAACUUUGGUUAAAAUGGUAAAAUUAAAAAAUCAAAUAUCACAAUGUUUUGAAUUUAAAUCUCAUCAUGUGCAAGUAUAUUUCUAAAUUUUAUAUGAACAGACAAAAUUAUCUUCAAAACAAUCUUUAUUGUUUAUUAAAAAUGAAUGACCUUUAAUAAAUUUAUUACUGAAUUGGUGAUCCGGUUAAAGUUUGACACCAACUCAAUAAAAUAUUUAAAUAUAAUAAUAAAUAUAUAGAUAGAUAUUAUGCAUUCUUCUACUCUAAUUUAAUUAAUUUUAAUCUUUAUAUUUUUUAAAGUAGUCAAUUUUAGUCUAUAAACUUUUUAAAUUUGAAACAAAAAAUUUAAAUUUAUAUAAGUUGUGUCCAAAUUGAUGUCUUUAGUUAUUGUUAUUUUCGAAUUUAAAAAUUCCGACCUUGAUUUAAAUAAUAUUAAUUACUUCAUUAACUAAAUUAACCCGUGUGAGUGUUACUCGUUUUAUUGCGAAUUUAAUUUUCAUAAAUUAUUAAUAAUAUUAUCAACAUAAUAUUACAUAUAUAAUAAUUAUAGUAAUCUAAUUUAAAAUUAAAUGUGGAUAUUUAUUUAAAUAAAUCACAAUUAAAAUUUUAUGAUUAAAUUUUCUCCGGUCUUCUUGUUUUUCUUUGGGCCAUUUAUUAAUGGUUGAAUUCUAGAAUUUCUUCUUUCUGUUUUUUUUUUAAAGCUUUUUUGGAAAAAAGAAGGAAAAGGAAAAAUGGAAAAAGAACCGACUGAAGAUGCGAUCUUUGAUUUGAUCCUGGGAGUGUGGAGAAAUCUAGGCCGUUAGCCUUUCCAAUUUUUUAUUAAUUAUCAGACAGUAAAUACAGAAAGAGAAAUGAAAGGAGGCGAUGAGGAGGUCGCAGCUCCGGCUGGCCCGCCACAGCCGUUGGAUUGGAAAUUUUCUCAGGUAUUUGGUGAGCGAACCGCUGGAGAAGAAAUUCAAGAAGGUAAUUUUCAUUCGUUUUUGGAUCCAAUUUGUACUUUGUUGGUUCAAUUGGAAUUAGGAUUAGCUUUGGUGUUUUGGAUCGAUUUUCGAUCAUGGCUUAUUGAGUAAUUUUUGUUUUGGUAAAUGGGUAUGAGAAAUAAUUGUGAACUUUUUGGGAUUUGGUUUUGAUUCGGGAAAGAUGGAGCUUUUGUCCAAAUAAUGCUUUAAAUAGUGUUUUUGUUAGCCAAAAAAAGGUUGUAUGGAAGUGAACUUGGUUAAGUUACUCAUGAUGCAUGCACAAAAAAAUGUUCUUUUCUGUAUUAAAUUGAUGUUUGGAUCUUAAUAACAAAAAAUUUGUGGUUAUGGGGAUUUUUAGUGCAUGGAAAGUAACUAAUAGUAUUGAGAGUUGUGUUGAAAAUAGGAUCUGAGUAUUAUCACUCUUAGGAUUGAGAUAGACUAUGUUUUUAGAGAUUUUGUUACUUUGAGUCUUAACCCAUGGAAAGAUGACAACAUUGUUGUGUCAUGGGUUUUACUAUUUGUAUGUUUUUGACUAAAGAAAGCUACAUUCUACCGAUUCCUGGAUAUAUUUUGCAAUCGUUUACUUGUACAAAUGGGUUAUAUCAUAUGUGCCAAGCAAAUGGGAUUGGCAGAAAGUUGGUUAGCUUAUGAGUUGAGUGAUAUAAGAGUUUGUGAUGCUUCUAUGAAACAUAGAGUUCGGUGAUUUGCUGAUACAUAUUUGACCUUUUCGAUAUUCAGUUUAAUUUAAUAUGGUCCAUUUCAGUAAUUCAAUGGUGAAACUUUGCUUGAGUUGAGUUUAGGUGGGUAAACGUCAAGGUAAGUAAUUAUUUUGGAACCGAUGAACCGAGACAUUUUGUCAUGAUGAACAAGUGACAGAACUACUUUGGUGAUGCUUGGUUUGGUGCCAUUGUAGGAACUAGCUCGUAUAUGAUAAGAAUGGAAUAUUGGAAACUGCAGAUGAUAGUCGGGUGCUUACAUUGAUAACAUCCCAAGGAGCUAAUGACUAAGAAAAGUAAUGAGUUUGUGAAGGACUGCAAUAGAUGUAUGAAGAACAAGAUCUGAGAAAGUUGCCUAAGGACUAAGAUGGUGCAUUUAUACAUGAUAAAAAAGACCAAUAAUGUCCAAAGAUGUAAGGAUUUGAGGAGAAUGUGUUUAGAAGACAUGGCAAGUGAAUUCUUAUUGAUACUAAAGGAGACAAUUCCUUAUUUGCUGGAGGAAGUAGCCAUGAUAGACGGUUUUGGUUUUGUCUAUUAAACUACUAAAUUAAGGUUAGAAGUCCUUUCUAGUUAAUUCUUGAAAAGCAACCCAGAAAAGCAUGGCUGUGAUUAGAUGGCUUAAAUUGGGGAUUUUUACAGAGAGUAGGUGGAUAAUUUGGCUGCAAUGGAUGUCUUUUGCUUCUGGAAAAGCUAGGUUGGUCAGAUCUUGCAGCUUAUAUGCAUAUUUCUACUUAGGAUUUGUUUUUGAAGCAAUUUGCUAAUGUGUGGCAAUAAGUUCAGGUUGGAUUCGGUGAGAAAUGGAUUGCUUUCAGAAACAUUCUCGUUAACUAGGAUGGAAUCGCUAAUUAUUUUCUGUCUACAAUAACUCAUAGUUAGCUUAAGAUUGCAGAAGUCUAUUCUGAGUUAUGGAAGACCAAGGAGUCUCUGGCAAGGAUAUUUCUUAGAAAGGAUAGUGUAGAAAAUAAAGGUUAUCAAGAUUUGGGCUUCUUCACAUUUGUUGCAGCUUCUAUAAAGAAAGUUAUAUAAACUUGACAAAAUCUUACCAUUACUCUUACUGGCAAUGCAUUUGUAUUUUCUUAAGAAUUUUGUUUCCUCCUGCAGUUGAUAUUAUUUCCGCAAUUGAAUUCGAUAAAACUGGGGAUCAUCUUGCAACUGGUGACCGUGGGGGCCGUGUGGUUCUUUUUGAGAGGACAGAUGCAAAGGAUGUGAGUUCUGCUUCCUCCUCUGAUGUUAAUAUAUUACUUAGUUAUUUUCUUCUAUUAUGGCUUUAUAGUAACUUCUUGUACUACAAUUUCAGCGUGGUCUAUCAAGAAGGGAUCUAGAAAGAACGGAUUAUCCAAUUAGUCGGCACCCUGAGUUCCGUUACAAGACAGAGUUCCAGAGCCAUGAGCCUGAGGUGCUCUCUCAUCGACUUUUGGAGCACUGAUACUACUUGCAUAUGCACAUAUGAACAGACACACUUAUUUUUCCCCAGGCUCAAACUAUUUUGCUCUAUCUUUGGUUUUCUUUUCUUUUCAGUUUGACUACCUCAAAAGCUUGGAAAUAGAGGAAAAAAUCAACAAAAUCAGAUGGUGCCAAACAGCCAACAGUGCACUGUUUCUCCUCUCCGCCAAUGAUAAAACCAUCAAAUUUUGGAAGGUAGGGAAGAAAUCCGUGCUGUAACUCUGUCUUAACUAUAAGUCCUUCAGUUUGCUUGUAGUUUUGUCUAUGCAAUCACAUUAUUUGCAAUACAUAUUGGUGGUAUGUUAGCAUGUUCAUGCCUUUAUAAUUUUGUCUGUAAAAUACUUCCUAUGACAUUGUUUGACAAGUGUAAAACAAACUGGGUAUUUUUUCUCAUUUUAGUUUGUUUAUUCUUCCAACUGUUGGUGUUAAGCAUAUUUAAUGGCUGAUAUUAUGAUUUGUGGGUAGCUUUGUCUUUGCUAUUAUGGCCACUUAUUUGUCUGCUAUGUGAGGGUAACAGGUACAAGAAAAGAAGAUCAAGAAAAUUUCUAAAAUUAUUGCUGACCCUUCGAAAGCUGUUGGAAAUGGAAAUGUUGCUAGUUCAAGUAAUUCAAAUAGCCCAAAAUCUUUUCUUGCAAAUGGAGUCUCCCCCGACAGAUCCUGCAACCAUUUGGGCAAUGACAUCUCUUUCCCACCAGGAGGCCUUCCAUCGCUAUGUUUACCUGUGGUGGUUGUACUCAACACAAUUAUUUUAUUUACUUGCUGUGAUUAAGUUUUAAAUUUAAAUACAAUUUUUAUCUAAACGAGUUUUAGUAUGGCCAAGGCUUGUGAGGAUGUUAAAACCUUACUUAAAGCUUAAAAGAAGUGCUACCUAAGGUGAUGAACUUCUUUUUAAGAUGACAUGUCUAUAAGAUGUGCUUUCUAAUGCCUAACUGAAUCAGGGGCGAAGCCCAGGAUUCUUCAAUGAGAUAGAGUAUUUGGCAUUUUAUAUUAUCCUUCUGCACCAUCUCAUUCAAAGAUGCACUUCUAGGCAUUAUGCAGCAUAUACUGUUAGAUUUGUAAUUUCUAUCCUGCUACACAUUAUCAUCUAAGAAUCUGCCACUUCCAUCUCUGCAUCUUAUUGGAUAACUGGGGCCAUGGGAGCCAUACAUGGCUCUAGUCCUUGGAAGACAAUAGGUUGUUGUUUCUUUUUCUUUUCUUGGUGAACAACCAUGAAUCUUUUUAUUGUCUUACCUUUAAGUUUUAUUGUAUCUUCUAGGUAACAAGUCAGGAGACCAACCUAGUGGCGAGAUGUCGAAGAGUAUAUGGCCAUGCUCAUGAUUAUCAUAUCAACUCUAUUUCAAAUAACAGGUAGGUAUUCUCUUAUAUUUUUAUUACAUUUCUUUAUGCUGUGACUUACUAUAUGUGGACUUGCUUGAAAACCUUUGAAGAGGAAGUAUGAUUUUUCCUUGGAUAUUUUAUGAGUAGAAACCUUUUAUCUUACUUUUUUUUCUUCUCUGAUGAAGAAAUCUAUCAUCAUCUGAGACACUUGAAUGCCCUUAUUAAGAUUUUCAGUCUGAUAAUUUCUUACCUUCAAUGGCCUCUAUUUGUUGAUUUUUGUUUCUUGUCCUUUGCAAUAUCAUUCUGAGGCAUCUCUGCAGAAAGUGAUGUCAUUUAGGAUGUCCUUGGUAAGUGGAAAAGUGGAAAGAUGGAAGAGGAUAAUAGAAAGGAGAAAAGAAAAUAGUAAAGAUAAUCAUUUUCUAUCCUAAUGUAUAAAAACAAAUUAUACCAAAUUGGAAUGAUAAGAGGAGAGAAAAUGAGAGAGAUGUAAGUUAAAUUUCAGAUUUAUGUAUUUUUUAAAAAAUUCAUUUUCUUUUCUCUCAUUUUUCCACUCUUCCGAGUAAUGAAUGGAAAGAAAAUUACUUUUUCUUUUAAAUUUUCCAUUUUUUGUACCAAGCAUGCCGAUGGAAAGAAAAAAUAUAUUUUGUUUCUACUUUUCUACUCUUUCCAUCUUUUGAUGCAAAUCCUUAGUUUUAGGUUCUAGUAUGGAGUAGAAAGUUAAAACUGCGUGGAUUAGGUUUCUUUUUUUUUUCCUUUUUUUCGCCGUUCAAACUUCAUGUGUGGUCAAGCCGUUAUAUAAUGAUAAAGUAUGAUUGAGUUUAUAAUGUCGUAAUUACAUGGUGGAUUUUAAUUUCUAAGCAACAAGUUCUGUGGCUGAACUUUCUGUUUUGUCAUGGCCAAGCAAGAAGUUUUAAUUGUGAAAUGGUCUCUGAGGAUACUGUCCAUGCAUUAAAAAUGAACAGCUGAUUAAUAAUCUUUACAACUCCGGAGAACUUCUAAACUGUAAGGUUUAAAUGCUAUGAGUGGAGUUUUCUUUAGGAAUUAUUUGUCUUUUGAAGCCUCUGAUCUAUUGCAUUCUCAUUUUGCAUAAAAAAAUAUGAUGAUCUAUCCUCAACUGAAUAUGCUUUAUGCCAUUCAACCCUUGAAGUAAGUUUUUAGCUCAUACCAAAUAUUUGCAUCAUAUUUUAUCACCGAAUUAUCUAGUCCUUGUCUUGAUGUUGGAUUGUCUGCACACCAUGUUUCUAUGCAAUUGUUAUUCAUGUAAUUUUUUGCUUUGAAAUCCAUAAUAUUUAAGCUUCUUGCAUUCAGGCUUGUUUGCAGUUUAUAUUUUAUGGGAUUAUAUUAGUUUUUAUUUACCUUCAUUCCAAGAUUUACUGGGUCUCUUUCUCUCUCUUAUUUUACCUAGUGAUGGCGAAACUUUUAUAUCAGCUGAUGAUUUGCGUAUAAAUCUUUGGAACCUGGAAAUUAGCAAUCAAAGUUUCAAUAUUGUUGAUUUAAAGCCUGCAAACAUGGAGGAUCUAACUGGUAAUCUUCUUAGCAUACCAGUUAAAGUAGUUCCACCUUCUCUGCUGCUUAAUAAAUUCUAUGAAGUAUCUCCUUUUUAAGCCACUUUUAAGAUCUUUACAAUAAAUUUGUUUGGAGGUAGUUCUUAAGUUCCCAAGUUCCGUUUAGCCAUAGUUUUUGUUUUCGUUUUCAUUUGAACUAUUGUUAUGCCUAUCUUUUCAGAGGUUAUAACAUCAGCAGAGUUUCACCCUGCCCACUGUAAUAUGUUGGCAUAUAGUAGCUCAAAGGGCUCGAUUCGCCUCAUUGAUUUGCGGCAAUCAGCUUUGUGUGAUUCUCAUGCCAAAUUGUAAGUGUUUUACCAUUUUUGUACCUUUGUCUACAAUUUACCAACUUAUUCUCCCAAAAGACUUUCCUAUAGAUCCUGACAGCUGAUGGUAUAUUGGCUGUUUGCUUUCAAUAUCCUUUCUGAAUAACCUAUACUAUGCCAACAGGUUUGAAGAACCGGAGGCACCUGGUUCUAGAUCGUUUUUUACAGAGAUAAUCGCCUCAAUCUCAGAUAUUAAAUUUGCCAAGGAUGGAAGAUAUAUACUCAGCCGUGAUUACAUGACUCUUAAGGUUUUAGCUUUGUUUCUUUUCCUUUUUAUUUUUUUUUAAAAUUGUUUUCAGUAUUGAUCCAUAUAUGAUUAUUCCUUUUCAAUGCAUGAUUAUUACAUUAUCACGUGAUUCUUCUUAAGCAUACUGCACUGAGCCGACGACUUUAUGUGCCAUUUAAUCCCGGUUUUCGUUAUCUGUCCACUUAUUCUGUAAGACAUUGAAAAGGAUUUGUUUGCCAUUGGUAUGCUGUAACAUGCAGGAAGCAUGAAGCUCAAAUUUUGCUGCAAAUAUAUUUUCAAUAAAGACUUUAGUUUGUAAACAUGUAGCACACUGAUUGAAAUGGAAAGAGCAAUUUGGUUCAUCGGCAUUUUAGUUAGGACUUGGAUAAUCAAAGGAUGUUGUUUAUCUCGUAGAGAGCUUAUCAUGAAAAUAUUUUCUUCUAUUCAGUAUUUGAGCAUUCAACAAUUUUGAAGUAAAUGCUUUUUUGAUUGCCUUCCCUAUUCUCUACUUGAUGUCCGUUGUGCUCUUAAUUCAUUUGACAUUAGCAUAAUUGUUUAAUAGGGAUCUUAGAACUUAUCAUCUGACUUGAUAACGUAUCACUUGGUUGUCAGUUAUGGGACAUAAACAUGGAUUCGGGUCCAGUUGCAACAUUCCAGGUUCACGAAUAUUUAAGACCCAAGGUAUGAUUUCUACCUUCUGAUAGAGAUUAUAUUAAUCAUAUUCGUGUUGUGCUGUGUCAGAGCUGAUUAUGGCUUUCUUUUAAUUGUUUCAGUUGUGUGAUUUGUAUGAAAACGAUUCAAUCUUUGACAAAUUUGAGUGUUGCCUAAGUGGUGAUGGAUUGCGAGUUGCAACAGGUUCCUACAGGUUUGUUUUUUGAGAUUAGGUCUGUUAAUCUUUUGCUAUUGUUGAUGUUAUCGUCUUCCACUUAUCAUAAUAUAUAUUUCCCAUGAUCUCAGCAAUCUGUUCCGUGUAUUUGGUUGUGCCCCUGGAAGCACUGAGACAACAACUUUGGAAGCCAGCAAAAAUCCAAUGAGGUAAACUAUUCACUCAAUCAUCGUAAAAUCUUGGGUGAUUCUGUAAUGAUGUAAGUAGUUAUAAACAUCCUAACAUCUUUUCAGGACACAAGUUCAGUCACCCUCAAGGCCUUCCAGAUCCCUAAACAGCAUAACACGUGUUGUACGACGAGGUAGAGAUCAAGUGUUUAUUUGUUCCUUUUUAACUACCACUAACUUUUGAUUAUUUUUGUGCUGGACUCCUCUCAAAUGCUUGUGUUUUUGGAAAAUCUGCCAUAAAUAGCAGAAACCCUCGGAGUUGAUGCAAAUGGAAACUCUCUUGAUUUCACGACAAAGUUGCUGCACUUAGCGUGGCACCCCACCGAAAACUUGAUAGCUUGUGUUGCUGCUAACAGCUUGUACAUGUACUAUGCAUAAAAGAUGGUCCAAGAAGCAAUGUAUUUCCUUGGUUAACUUUUAUUUGGGAGCUGGUAGCAAAACCUUGUUUCACUUUCCUGGUGACCAUCGCGUUAAAUGCUACAUCGACUCUUAACACUUUUGGUAGCCCUAAAAUCCAUAGCACAUCCUAGUAUCGAGGUCAAGAAAUAUCUUAGCAGGGAAGAAACAUAUCUUUGUUCUCGGGUAGGCAGCUCAAUUCUCUUUUCCCCUUUCCCCCCUCAUCUCAGAAACCCGAAAAUUUUCUUUUCCCUCCCGUAAUCUUCUUUCAAAGUAGAAGGUGGAGUUAUGUUUCUAAGACGUGUUGGGUUGAAGUUAGCAGAAAAUAUGAUUGUAGCAAAAGGAUUUCAAAAUAUUUGGCACAAGGUUCAAAGGUAACUGUAAAUUAAUUUUUUUUUUCUUACCUUUUUGGGCUCAAAAUCAUGGUGGGAAGUAGCUGUUGGAACUUGCAUCAUUUAUUUUUUUGUUUGAUUCUUUUGUCAUGUCUGGAAGUCGGGAAAAAUCCCGAAAUUACACAUGCAAUACGAGUUUUGAUUUGAUCCAAUUGUAGAAAAAAAGAACUAAUGCUUCUCUUUUCUGAUUUCUAGGCUUUCAGAUUAACAAAAACCUGUUGAACUAAUUAUCAAACGACGAAUAUCCAGACACCUAUUGAACUAAUUAUCGUAUCUGACCAAUUGUUGCAUUCAUUUUAAUUUAUUACACCUGGAGUCCAAGUUGACAGAGUCGUCUCCGAUAACAAUGGAGAUUGGUGAGUGGGAGAGAUGGAGCUUCAUCAAAUCUGGGGCGUCAAUCAAACGCAUCUGAAACCGUAGUAUUUCAUAGGUGACUAGUGUCAUGGGUUCCUAAGUCCGUGACACUAGAAGGUAGAAAAAGCUUCUGUGCAAUAAAUUUUGUUAAAAUCUUCUAGUCCUUUUAUUUUGAAUAUAAUUUAUUUAUUUUUUCAAAUUUUAAAAUUUAAAUCUAUCACUUUUAAAAUGAUAAAGAAUUGUAGACAGCUUUCUGUCAAAAUUGUGGAAAGGAAUUGAAUAAAAGAUUAAGUGGAAAUAUUUUUUUACUUAAAUAAAAGAUUUAAUGCUUCAUUCUUAAUAAGGAAAAGAAAAUAUAGAAUUCGAUCCGAAGGUUCACUUGAAAUCCGGACCUUGAGUAAGAUUUUUUUGCCCCAGUCCGGCCCAGCUCAAAUAUAUUCUAUUAUAAAAAAAUGUUAUAUUAAUUAUAUAUAUUUAUAUUUAUAUUAAAUCACUAACUCAAUAACAAUUAAACGCGUUAUCCAAAAUCUAAAAAAAACUUUUUCAACUUACUCAACCUAAAAUAUAAAAUUUUAAAAAUUAUAUUUAAUACAAUAAAAUAUUUAUUAUAUUUAUGGUAGUAUUUUUAAUAUAGUGUAUUAUAUUUUUUUUAAAAAUAUUUUUAAAUAAAAACUAAUCUUAAAAAAUCAAAUAUGGGCAGGACUGGCCCAGAUUUACCUUUCUUAAAUUGGGUUGAAUUUGGACAAGAAAAAGUAACCUAUUUUUCAAACCAGAUUUGACUUGAAAAAUUGGUCUAAAUACCUUUCAUGGACCCAGCCCGACCCAACCCGACCAAUGAGCACCCAUAGAUGGGAGGGGUGAAAGGGGCAUAAUUGUCCUUACUUUAUACAGUGACACUGAUAUUUCAGUAGUACAAAGUUUUAAAAAUACGGGGAAAAAAAAUAUAUAUAUAUUUGAUUUAAAAUUUUCGGCAUCUCCAAGCUGUUGGGCGACACCAUUUUAAAAUUGUUUUUUUUACUAAUGCAAUCAUUUUGUAAUUAUGUUGGUGCUUUGUCAAAUGGUGUCACCUUAGAUUACUGUAGAAAAUGACUCAUUCUCGUAAUUAAUCUACUUUCCACCUCAUUUUCCUAAUUAUUUUUUUCGUAUUAUUGAUGUAAAAAACUUCAUUAGGUUGAUUAUUUGUUAAUGUCAAAUUAUGAAGUAAAAUUUGAAGAUUAAAAUAUACUUUAAUCCUACUUUUAUUUUUAGACACUUGGACUCUCUACUUUUUGGAUUUUAAAUUUAGAUCCAACUAUUAAAUUUUAUGAUAUGUCAUUUUGAAGUUUAAAAAAAAAUUACUUGGUAGUCAUAUAAAAAUAACAUUGAAAAUGUUUAUGUGGAUUUUUUUUUCUCUUAAAAACAUCAAUUUAAACUCAUCAUGAUAAAAAAAAAUUUUGUUGGAAUAGUGUUCCUAAGAAAAAUUGACGUAAGCAUUUUAAUUGAAAUAGUAAUACUAUUAAAUAUUUAGACUAACUAAUGAUAUUAUAAAAGUAGGAGGAUUAAAUUAUGUCAAAAAUUAAUGUUAUAAAUUAACUAACGACAUUAUCCCAUUUUUAGCAUGGUAUAAGAACUAAAACUGAAGUUUGAUCAUUGUUUUAUAAUGUCAAAAAAAAAAAGAAGAAGAAAGAAGCAAGGCAAAACUAAAAUAAAUAGAAAGCCACAUAUCCGUUUCUAAUACCUUUAAUGCAUUCAAAUUAUAUAUAAUCACAUACUAUUUUAAUCGAAAAAUUAACAAUAUUAACUAUUUGGACUAAUUAAUAACAUUAUAAAAAUACAUGGACCAAAUUACAUUAGAAAUUAAAGUGUAAUGGUUAAAUCUUAAAUAUAGGCAUGAUAGAGGGACCAAAAUUGGAAUUUAACCAGUUUUCAAAAAUGCAAAAGGAAGAAGGAAAGCACCAUGGUGGUACACGUGUUGAAAAAAGAAGGCAUUUAGUAUUCUUCGUGCAUUUGAAAUUUAGUCUUCAUACUUUUAUUUUUAGGAAUAUAGUCCUUAUAUUUUUUUAAUUUUAAAAUUCAGAUCCAAUUGUUAACAUUAUUAGUUUUUUUGUUAAAUUCGUUGUUGUGACAUUUUAAAAUUUAAAAAAAAAAACCCCACUUAGUUACCAUAAAACAAAAAAAAAUUAUAAUGAACUUGAAUUUAACAAAUGAUUUUAAACAUGUUUACAACUCCUAAAAGUUACAUCAGCUUUUAAUCAAAAUAAAAUAUUUUGACUAAUCAAUAACAUUGUAAAGGUUAAAGUAUCAAAUCAUAUAAAAAAAUUGAAGUAUAAAGAUUAUAUUUUAACUUCGAGUGCAACACAUGGACCAAAUUUGAAAUUCAACCAUUGUUGUGUUGAGAGUGUUUUCAAAUUGGGUUGGUCAAUUUAUGAUAAUUAAUGGGUACUUUUUUGAAGAAAAAUAUAAGCUACAAAUACAACUGGACGUCUUGAAAAGUAAAAAGAUUAAAUUCUUUAGAGUAAAUGUAUAUGAACUAAAUUUUGAAUUUGUAAAAAAUACAAAAACUUAUUUAACCUAAAUUGUUUUAUUUAAAAAUUAAAUUUUAAAUAAAAAUUACUAAUAAGAUUCGAACUCAAAUCUGAUUUCGAGUUUUAGUAUUAGAAUUAAAUUAUUUGUUGAAUAUUCAGGUAUAUUAAAUAUUUGCAUUCCAUAAGUACUUUUGAUGCAAUUACAAAAAUAUGGUGGGUUUGUAUAUUCCCUUAUUUACCAAAGUUAUAAAUGUUAAUAUCUGUAUCCACUCUAAAAUUCCUUGUAGAUAGUAAUUAAAAUAUUAAGUUUCAAAUCUUAUUCUAAAUUUGUAAUCUUUGAAUAUGCAAAAAGCAAGUUGGAUAUCUGCAUUAUACAGUACCAUCCCUACUUUGGAUUUAUAUUUAUUUUUUUGUUUGUUUAUAAUAGUAAAUAAAAUAAAUGGUUGGUAUCGGGUUUUUAGUUUUCAAUUUGCUACUUUAGUUUAGUUUUAAUGUUUAAUUUGGUACCUAAAUCAAAUGGAUCAUGUGGCCUAAUAAAUAUUUGACAUUGUUACAAGUGACUUUUCUGUCAAAAGUGCUAAUAGGAUGUUGAAGGAAGGCUCUUGAAAUUCAAGAGAGGCAAAAUGGAAAAUUGUAUGGAAAUAUCCAGGACCUCAAAGAGUCUGGUACUUUAUUUGGACUACUUUUAAACACAUAUUUCUUACAAAUGUGGAAAGAGUUAAGCAGGGAAUUGGGGUUGACUCUUCAUGUCCUAUUUGUAGUCAUGGCUCGAAAGAUGCCUUACAUGUUCUUAGAGAUUACUCAGCAGCAAAAGAUGUUUGGCUAAAUGUUAUACCAGUACACCAACAAAGGAGUUUCUUGUCGAAUAAUUUACAUGAUUGGCUAGUUUCUAAUUUGCAAGACCUUUUGAAAAUGCAUUGGGGAGGAGCUAAUUGGAUUUGCCUAUUUGGACUCCUUGCUUGGCGUAUUUGAAAGAAUCGUAAUUUUUUUUUUAUUUUUCAAGGUAUAACUUGGAAUUCGAAUGAGAUUAUCAAAGCCUCAGAUAACUGGGCCAAAUAGCAUUCUACUGUGUCUAAAGAUGUUUCCGAUUGAUGUCAUGAAUAUACUAUUGGGCAACUUAUAACAUGGAAUUGGGUUAUCCUAAAUACUAAUGGUGUUGUUUUGAUGGGUUCUGAUCUUGCUACUGUUGGGGGUAUUGUGCGAGACGAAAAUGGGGAUUGAAUUUUUGGAUAUAAUUGACAUUUGGGAAAAUACUCAGUUUUCAACGUUGAAUUAUUGAGCAUUUUGGAUGUUCUCAAUCUUAUCCAACGAAGAGGACAUGACAGGGUGAUAAUCCAAGCUAAUAGUUUGGAGAUAGUUAGAACGAUUCAAGAUAAUGCAUCGACUACUUCGAAUUUUGCUUUUAAGACAUAUACUUAGGGAACGCAACCAUGUUGUGGAUGCUUUAGCCAAAUUGGCUUUUAGAAGAAAGGAAGACUUGCAUAUUCUUUAUUUUCCUACUAGGGAGAUUCAAGUAAUCCUAGAAGCAGAUAGAGCUAAAGGUGUUUUAUUUCAAAAUAUACCCAUGUAACUAGUUGUUUAUCUUGUUCUAUUCACCAAAAAAAUAUUUGACAUGCCAGCGGUAGUAAAAAAGUAUGGAUACUUAAUUUGGGGAAAACACAACGCUAAAUAACUAAAUUGAAUAUUGAAGUCAAACUUAAGUACUUAAUUUAAAAAAACUCAAGUAUCAAAUUAAAAAAAAAAAAAACCUAAGCACCAAAUUGAUCAUUAAAGCAAAACGCAAGUACUAAAAAGAGACAAAAAAAAAUUCAAAUACCAAAAUAAAUAUAAAAACUAAAUUAAGAUACCAAACAAUACAUUAACCCUAAAAUAACUCCUCUUAAUUACUCCACAUUCAAUGGGUGAUACCAGUUUUCAAUAACAAAUCACCGGCAAAUAUUAUUUUGCUAAGUCAAGAGUUUGUUAAUAUAAGCUACAAGCCUAUUACACACAAAUUGGCCAAAUUCAACGUUAUAGAGCAAGAAAAAGAACACAACACAAUUAAGAACCACCACUGGCAAAAGAAAUCCAAUGGUCGUUGGAUACCCGACGAGCCAUGCCCUACACCGCUUCUUCAAAUAUUUCCAACCACACUAUCAACCAGGAAGCUUCCAGUGUAACAAACAAGUCAAUCAAAGAGAUAAAACCCCCCAUGACCUCUUUGAUUCAAUAAAACUCCACACAACAGCUGAGAGAUCACUCUCCUAACACAUCUCCGAGCAGGCUAAUAAGACCGGAAAUGAAAACACCAUUAUACCUGAUAUAGCUAGAAGCAGAAACAAAAGCACAAACAAUCUCCACGACCCCAUAAAAGGAAACUCACCGACAAGUCUCCUGUCACUAAAUUCAUAAAGCUAAUUCGAGAGAAAUCUAUAGACAAGUAUCCAAAUUCCAAACUGGUUUUCCAAUUACCAAUGGUUUAAGGAAACUGUAAGUUGAAACAAAAUAAAAUGGCUGUAAGUGCUCUACUUAUAGUGCUUAUAAGAUACUAUGAAACCUGUUUAACUAAUUAUAAAAUAUGAAAAAUUCUUGCACUAAUUACGAUUACAAAUAAGUUAAGUUACUUCAAUUGUUCAUGUGUCCGGCUUUCGAACAUAGAUAUGAUGAAAUGAUUCACCCUACACUCACAUGGCAAUCAAGAAACAAACAUUUUAUUACCUCACACCCUUUCUCUACUUAUAAUACAAAGUGAAACCCCUUAGAUAAUAAAUCAUCCCAAAAAAACCAAUAUAUGAAGAUUCAUGCCUCCAUAUAAACUUGGAAGAUGUCCAACCCUUGCAUUGCUAACUCUUUCCCGUCUCAUAUCAUACUAGACAAACUUGUGUUUGCCGAUGUUCAACAAGACUUUGUCACGAUUUUUGGAGAAGGCCAAGGUAUUAGCAAUGGAAAACCCAGCUGCCCAAAUAUCUACUUAGUCCAAAUUCUUUCAUUAUUCAUAUACCACCAACACUUCCCAAUCACCUAGAGUGGCGAUCACACAAAGCCAACCUCCUAUGGCAUGUACUUUCACAUGAAACCCUUCAACACAUCAACAACACAAUCUUCCUCAGACCCGACAUCGAAAGCAACAAUUAUAUUUACCGAACAAGAAAAAUAUCAAUUUUUGGUUUAUUUGUUUUGAACGUCUUGGUGCCUACAAAGCUAAAUGUUGUAUAAUAAUGCUUUUUGACAUCUUGUAUGAAUUCAUAAUCUAUCAAAUAAUUUCUCUUAAUAAAUUCCUUUUUGAAUUCGAACUCCAAAUAUCUAAAGAUGAUUUUAGCUUUUUAACUAUAUCCCAAUUUUUAUAUGGCUCCUUAUUCCUUAAUGCAUCACAACACGGCGAUUAAAAUUUUAAUUUAAUUUUCUUUUUCCUUUUCUUCCUCCUCUCUCACCCUCUUCACAUUUUUUGCUUUUUUUCUUUUCUUUUUCCUCCUCUGUCCCUGUCCCCAAUAAACUUCUCUAAUAAUAUAAUCAGCAAGUCCACAUCUCUUCUCCUGCUAUGUAGAAUGGGGUCAUGUGGUCUAUGUUGACAAAAUAUGAAAAAUCAGGAUCUUCGAACUCCAGCGAUUCUGGCACCACUUCAACAUAGCCAUAUCAUGCUGCUAUAUGGGAUAUGCUUUUGUAUCUCCCUUACUACAUUGGCUUGAUCUAUUCCCAUCUCUAGGGUGCGUUUGGUUCGCUGUAUUGGGAUUAGAGGUGUAUUAGAUUAGAGGUGUAAUAGCAAAUCAACUGUUUGGUUGAAUGUAAUGGAAUAGAGGCGUAAUAGUAAUCUUGUGUUUGGUUGAAUGGAAUAGAGGUGUAAUAGCAUAAUGGAAAAUACUAAAAUGACUAGAAUACCCUUAGCAUAAAUUUGUUUUGGUAAAUGAUUAUUAUUAUUGUUAUUUAAAUUUUAAUAAGAUUAUUAUUAUCAGUAAUAAAUAUUUUAAUCAUAAUUAAACAUAAUUAUUAUUAAAUAUAUUUUAAUUAAAAUAUAUAAUUUAAUAAAAUUCUUAUAAUUAGCAGAAAUUUGUUUUGAUAAAUUAUUAUUGUUAUUGUUAUUUAAAUUUUAAUAAGAUUAUAAUAUCAAUAAUAAAUAAUUUAACCAUAUUUAAACAUAAUUAUUAUUAAAUAUAUUUUAAUUAAAAUAUAUAAUUUAAUAAAAUUCUUAAUAAUUAAUAUUCUUAUAUAAAUUUACUCAAAUCAUAAUAUAUGAUACUGUAAAAUAUAAAUUAACAUAAUUAUUAUUAAAUAUAUUUUAAUUAAAAUAUAUAAUUUAAUAAAAUUCUUAAUAAUUAAUAUUCUUAUAUGAAUUUACUCAAAUCAUAAUAUAUGAUACUGUAAAAUAUAAAUUAACAUAAUUAUUAUUAAAUAUAUUUUAAUUAAAAUAUAUAAUUUAAUAAAAUUCUUAAUAAUUAAUAUUCUUAUAUGAAUUUACUCAAAUCAUAAUAUAUGAUACUAUAAAUGAAAAUUUGAAAUAAUUAAUAUUAAAUAUAUUUUAAUUAUAAUAUAUGAUUUAAAAUAAUUUAAAAUAAUUAUAACUAAUAAAUUAUAUUUUAUGAAUUUGUAUAAUCUAAAAUAAUAAUUAUUACAUAUAAUUUAAUAAUUAAUAUUAAAUUUCAUAAAAUACUUGAUAAUAAAUUUUCUUAUAUGAAUUUAUACAAUUUAAAAUAAUUAAUAUUAAAUAUAAUUUAAUAGUGAUAUAUAAUUUCAUAAAAUUCUCAAUAAUAAAUUGUUCUUAUAUGAAUUUACUAAAAUCAAUAUAUACCUUGAGAAUUAUAUUCUGCAUAAACAUAAUUAACUUAUAUUAAAAAAAAGUUAAAUGAAAAUAAAAUUGUACAUCAUAAUCCAUAUGUUAUAUAGUUUUACAACAUCAAAAAGUUUGAACAUUGAUUUUUAAUGGUGAGAAAGAAAUCUUCUGACCCAUUCCAAUCGGGCAAUAGAAGGUAAACUAAAGAAAACGAUCAUUUGAGUUGGAUGAUCGGGAAUUUUACUCAAAGCAUCAUACCGCUUGUAAUAGGCCAUUUUAGCCCGGGCCCAAAUGUAUAAACCUUAAAAUAGCAAAUACAAUAAACAGUCCAUUUUUACAAAUAAACCAAUCGGCCUAAUAGCUUAGCCCAAACAGCAGAAAUUGGCCCAAUUGGCCCACAAGAUGUUUUUGGCAAAUGAGGCAGAAACCCCAGGACGCGCUGCAUGACUCCCUCGCAUGCCGCUUCUCUCGCGUUCAGUAGCCUCACACGUUAUACACGUCUCCUCUAGUGUUUCUGAAACAAGUCACGAUCAGCACAUUGGGCAGUUUUUUUCACAUAGUGGCAGCAAAUAAACUAGGAACAAUACUAAGAGAAGAGAGACAGCAAAAAAAGAAGGUAGAGGGAAAAAAGGAAAAAAAAGAUUUCUGUAACUGGGUUUUUAGCAAAUUUUUGUAUUGGAAAAACUGGAAAAAUAAAUACAAGAGAGAACAAGUUUUUUAAGGUGACAGAUUUUAGUUCUUUUUUUUUCUUUUGUUUUUUUUUACUGUUUCUAUUGGAUUUUGUUUCUCUUUUUAUUUCUUAAAACAAAAACAAAAGGGAAAGGAAAAGGAGGGCUUACCGUUGCGAGAUUCGUCGGAGAGCGUCCUCAUUUCGUCGUCAUCUGGUCGGACAUGGGAGGGGACUGGAACGGCGGAGGAGAACUGCUGCGGCGCGAUUUUGAAUGGCAGAGGAGUUUUCUUUUAGGGGUUUGAAAUGGGUUUUAUUGGCUGCAAAUGAAAUGAGAUUCUAUUUAUGGGUUAUUUAUGUUUUUAAUCCUUCCAUUUUAUCCUAUCAUUUCAAAACCUUUUUUUUUGUUUUCAAAAUUUUCCAUGAAAUAUCGAAUCUGUUUUAUUUUAG